rnacentral:rRNA from 1 species
CUACCACGCGAGUGGAUGCCAAUCCCUAAAACCCCUCUCAGUUCGGACUGGAGUCUGCAACCCGACUCCACGAAGCUGGAUUCGCUAGUAAUCGCGCAUCAGCCACGGCGCGGUGAAUACGUUCCCGGGCCUUGUACACACCGCCCGUCAAGCCAUGGGAGCCGGGGGUACCUGAAGUGCGUAACCGCGAGGAUCGCCCUAGGGUAAAACUGGUGACUGGGGCUAAGUCGUAACAAGGUAUC